rnacentral:lncRNA from 1 species
UAAUAUACCUAUAUUUGUAAUAAAAUACUGAUAAACGUCCUGUUCGGGCUCAUUUCCGGGCUUUCGGGCGGAAAAGCUGAGCCCGAGCCCGGCCCGGAUGUCGGGCUUUCGGGCUGGGCCAGCCGGGCCGGGCUGCCCAUGCCCGGGACUAAGUGCAAUGAUAUGGCUAUAUAGUACUGUAUGCUAUUUACUUAUUUGACAUGGCUACAUAAGUAGUACUCCCUCUGUUCCUAAAUAUAAGUCUUUUUAGAGAUUCCAAUAUAUAAAUCUUUUUAGAGAUUCCAAUAN